UACGUCUUGAAGCUAUUGGGUGUUUUUAACUUUGCAGUGAAGUGAAAAGUGUAAAAAGAGCAUCCCGAACUGACUAUCGCCUGUACGAGGGAUUGGUGCGUAAGAAAUCAGUACAUAUUUUGCAAAGUGAAGCCAUUGGUAGGCCAUCAAAAUUUACACAAAAACGUAGCCGUGAAGCAAUAUUUUUUUUCAACUGUGGAACACUUGUGUUCGCGUACAGCGUCGGUUUUAUGAAUUGGAAUGAUCCAGCCUUCCCAGAGGCUAGUCAAGAAUCGAUACCCUCUUCCACACGCAAGUGUGACUGCAACAUCAACAGAUUGCCUAGAUUUAUGUACAAAAUUUAUCUCAAUAAACUUUAUAUAAAUUAUCAAA